AACGCAUCUUGCACUCAUUGGUAUUCCAAUGAGUACGCCUGUUUCAGUAUCAAAAACAACCCACAUUCAAACUUUUUUGUUAGAAUGGAGCUUGAGAGUAUCUCUCGCAGGACACUCUUAAAAUGGACUAAGGCCUGAAUUUGUUUAAGCCUAAGCCUUUUUUUAAUAUAAAGAAAAGUUUAUGGAUCUAAACUUUGUUUGGGGCCUCCCAAAGAAAACAAUUUUAAAUUCUGAUCUGAAAUUAGGUGGGAAUACCCGCUGAACUUAA
rnacentral:misc_RNA from 1 species